ACUAAAUUAGAAACUUCAGAGAAUACUCCCCCUCCUUCAAACCCUAAAACAUGGUCUCAUUCGGUCUUUUUGCUCCGCAAAACCGUGUCAAUUGAUCAGCUUUCAAAAAACCCUAAACCUGUUCCCAGAUGACUUGGUCUCUCCUCUUCUAUUUAUCAUCAUUCACCCCAGUGUGUAAAAUAGAGAAAGAGAGGCAACCCUAAAUUCAAGAAAUCAUUUGGAGGCCAUAGAAGUUCAGUUAAGGACUGAAUUUGAGAGAGAGAGAGAGAGAGAGAGAGAGAGAGAGAGAGAGAGAGAGAGAGAGAGAGAUGAAAAGGAAGAAAGAAGAAGAAGACGGUCAGCGUAAGGAGGUGAAGCAGAGGAGUGUCUGUGAUGCCUACGGUGGGGAUGGGGUGGCCUGGUUUAGGGGUGGAAUGAUUGGCCAAGGAAGUUUUGGGUCUGUUUAUUUGGCCAAUUCUAAGAAACCCAACUCCAAAUAUGGCUGCUUUCCUCCUCUGAUGGCCGUGAAAUCGGCCGAAGUCUCUGUUUCCGGCACAAUUCAGAAGGAAAGGGAGGUUUUGAGCAACAUUGGAAUGCACCCGAAUAUAAUUGGGUGUUUUGGGGAAGAGAUUACCACGGGCGAAAAUGGCGAGAUGGUCUAUAACUUGUUGCUGGAGUAUGGGUCUGGUGGAACCCUAGCUGAUUUGAUUGAGAAAGCCGGUGGUUGCGGAUUGCCUGAGUCUCAUGUGAAGCGCUACGCCAGGUCUAUUCUUCUAGGGCUCAAUCAUAUUCAUGGGCGUGGGUACGUUCACUGCGAUUUGAAGCCGGGUAAUAUAUUGCUUGUGCCUAAGAGCUGUGGUUUUGGUGGCACCGAAUUCAAGCCGAAGAUUGGGGAUUUUGGGUUGGCGAAGAGGGCGAAGCAGAGUAAUAACAAGAAGAGGAAGGUUGAUCCGUUUUACUGGAGAGGUACUCCUAUGUAUCUAUCACCUGAAGUAGUAGUUGAUAAUGUACAAGAGCCUCCUUCUGAUAUUUGGGCUUUUGGGUGUAUUGUGCUUGAGAUGAUAACCGGAAAGCCUCCGUGGGUUGGAAAGGGAGAUUUGGAUGGGGAGGAGCUUCUUCGUCUGAUUGGCCAAGGUCACGAAUCACCUAAAAUUCCGGAUGAGUUAUCAAAAGAUAUGAGGCAGUUUUUGAAGGGUUGUUUUUCGAGGAAGACCAUGUUUAGAUUGACGGCUGAUAUGCUAUUGAAUCACUCAUUUGUUGAAGGGUUAGUUGACGAUUUUGAUGUAGUUGAGGAGGAAGAUGGGUACUUAGAUGCGGAUGAGAUUGAUUCCUCGUUUAUGUUAUACGAGACUGAUGAUGAGUGCAGUGACUCCUCACUUUCUGGGGAUUGUAGCUUUGUAUCUGAAGAGGAACUCUUCCUUUCUUCUUGGUUCGAAGAGGGGCAUGAGAUUGACAAUGAUGGGCUUUCUAGUUUUGGCGAAGAAGAGAUAUUGGAAGUUCAAGAAAGUGCGGACAUUGCAGGCUCCACCGUAGAUGAUUUGGUUGAUACGUCAAAACAGGUCCCAAAUAACACCAUGCAGCAGCGUGCCAUUGGUUUUACCAUUCCAGCUGGUGGUUAGCAGUCUAUCGUAUGUGUCUGGGGAAGUAUAUACUAUAGCAGAGGAAGAUGAAGGCACUCAUGGUUAAUGCUUUGUUUCUCAUUUUUUUCUCUGCUUUUCCUGAAACUCCAGCAAGAACUCUACCAGAACACCCACUGGACAAAUUGAUUCAGUUAAUCCAAUCUCCAUGCAUAGAAGAGCAAUCCUGUAACUUCUUUGGAAGGAAGACUGAUCAUGGGACGAACCCUAGUCGACAACCUCCAUCUCCAACAUCACCAUCAGGUCCAUCGCCAGUCAAAGCGAUGUCAAGAGACUUUCUUUGUGGUAAAAUGGAUAAGUACGGAAGGACCUCAAGUCCACCUCCUCCUUCUCCAACAUCAGCAGCACCGACCAAAGAGGGAUCAUUUACGAUGGCGGGGUAUGGCAGGGCAGCCAGUCCACCGCCUCCAUCUCCAACAUCAGCACCACCAACUAAAGAGGGAUCAUUUAUGAUGGCUGGCUAUGGCAGGGCAGCCAGUCAACCGCCUCCAUCUCCAACAUCAGCACCACCAACUGAAGAGAGAUCAUUUACUAUGUCUAGCUAUGGCAGGGCAACCAGUCCACCGCCUCCAUCCCCAACAUCAGCACCACCGACUAAAGAGACAUCAUUUACUAUGUCUGGCUAUGGCAGGGCAACCAGUCCACCGCCUCCAUCCACAACAUCAGCACCACCGACUAAAGAGACAUCAUUUACUACGGCCAAGUAUGGCAGGGCAUGGAUUCCACUGCCUCCCCCUCCAAAGUCAUCCCCACCGACCCACCAAGUAUCAAGCAUUGGACUGUUGCUUGAAAAAUCACCAUCAAAUCCCAGCUUGGCAUCAAUCUGAGCUGAUAUCAAGUAUAGAAUAAUGUUGAUUAGUGUUACAAAACAAAUUUAUUCGUUUCCUAAUGCUGAGAGUGCAUUAUUAGCUGUUGUACUACUUGGCUUCAUCAAUGAAAGCUCAAAGUCAAUGGCCUUCAAGAUAUGUACCUCUAGUUUGGAUGGAUUUAGUAUUAUGACAAAGUGAUAUUGUUGCA